GAUGAAGAACGUAGCGAAAUGCGAUAAGUAAUGCGAAUUGCAGAAUUCAGUGAAUCAUCGAAUCUUUGAACGCACAUUGCGCCCGCCAGUACUCUGGCGGGCAUGCCUGUCUGAGCGUCAUUUCAACCCUCGCCCCGGCUUCUGUCGGGGACGGUGUUGGGGAUCGGCCUCCCGUCUUCCGGGUGGCCGGCCCCUAAAUUGAGUGGCGACCACGCCGUAACCUCCUCUGCGUAGUAGUUAAACACUCGCGGGCGGAGAGCGGUGCGGCCUGCCGUAAAACCCCCAACUCUUCUAAGGUUGACCUCAGAUCAGGUAGGAAUACCCGCUGAACUUAAGCAUAUCAAUAAGCGGAGGA
rnacentral:misc_RNA from 1 species